rnacentral:rRNA from 1 species
UACGUAGGGUGCAAGCGUUGUCCGGAAUUAUUGGGCGUAAAGAGCGUGUAGGCGGCCCGGUUAGUCCGCUGUGAAAGUCCAGGGCUCAACCCUGGAAUGCCGGUGGAUACUGUCGGGCUAGAGUCCGGAAGGGGCGAGUGGAAUUCCUGGUGUAGCAGUGAAAUGCGCAGAUAUCAGGAGGAACACCAAUGGCGAAGGCAGCUCGCUGGGACGUGACUGACGCUGAGACGCGAAAGCGUGGGGAGCAAACAGG